AAACAUACUUAAUAAUUAAAACCAUAAAUAAAACUAAAAAUUCAAAAAUAAAUAAAUUUUGUAAGAAAAAGUUUAAUACUUUAUGCAUUUGGUACAUCACCAAAAAUUGCAUCAAGUAGUGUGAUAAACUGUAAAUAACGUUGAACUCGCGGGUUUUCCGGAUUGCCUCUAUACAUAUGAUAAAGUUUCUUCAAGAUAUCCAAACGAUUUUUAACACAUCUCCAACUCAAAUUUUUUCCAAACGUUAAUAUUCUUAAGAAUAUUUUCUUUUUGAACAUCACUUAGAAAUCUGAUUUUGGGGUCUUUGGAUUCUUCCGUUUAUUUCUCCACAAUAACCCGUUGAAGUAACGCAAAUGUGGUCUCGUUUGACCAAAUGAUUUUCUAAUCGAGAAAACAAAUCAAAACAUGUAUUCAAUCAAAAAACUCAAAAAAAAACAAAAUAAAAAAAAACAACGAUGCCAUGAAAUAUUCCGAGAAUUACACUAGCUAAUGAAUGGAUGAAAGGAUAGAUCAUACUUACGUUUGAUUCUUGAUUUUGACUUUGAUUUUUGUUAGUUUGGGUGGAUGCCAUAAUUGAGAGAAUAGGGUUUCAUUGAUUAGGGUUUUCUGAUAAGAAUAAGUAUAAGGUUUGGGUGGAAGACAUAAUUAUUUUAAUUAAUUAAUU
rnacentral:sRNA from 1 species